CUUUUCUGCCGGGUCGAGUCAGGGUCGCCUCCUCGAGCUCUGAGUUUUCCAUCAAGCGGAGCCAGACUGAAAGCUAGGUGCAUUUCCCUGGAGAUAUAGGGAACAGAGGGAAGAGGGCGAGAGGGACCAAUGGGUAGGGAGUAAUAAAGUUUAUGAGAGGGUGUGGGGCGGUCUUCUGUACCACGGGGCUGUCC
ensembl:misc_RNA Gm27893 predicted gene, 27893